rnacentral:rRNA from 1 species
UACGUAGGGUGCAAGCGUUAAUCGGAAUUACUGGGCGUAAAGCGUGCGCAGGCGGUUAUGCAAGGCAGAUGGGAAAUCCCCGGGCUUAACCUGGGAACUGCAUUUGUGACUGCAUAGCUAGAGUACGGUAGAGGGGGAUGGAAUUCCGCGUGUAGCAGUGAAAUGCGUAGAUAUGCGGAGGAACACCGAUGGCGAAGGCAGUCCCCUGGACCUGUACUGACGCUCAUGCACGAAAGCGUGGGGAGCAAACAGG